AUUGACUUCUGUUUCUUGAAUAUGAGAAAAAUACCAAGGGUUGUCAAAAUUUCACAGGGAAGGUAGCUUCCGGCCACAUAUUUUCCAGAUACCAGUUUGAGAUUCUAGGUCAGGUGUCUGCCACUCCAUCUGCCCCAUCCUCUAAUCACACAGUGGUGCAGAUAUAGGCCAACCUGACGAAGCAGAGUGGUCCUUGGAAAUCCAACACCCCUUGAACUUUGUGUCUGAUAAAUAUAAUAAUACUUUUUUUUGCUAUUUUUAUUCAACCAAACUCAAAAUUUUCCAAUAUUUAUAAAUAAGAUAAUAGAGAAGAUAUAUGGUAAUUGACAAUAAAUAUGGUCACUGAGGGAUGUUAGCAUUUUUCAUACUACAAGUGUUAUGCACAGACAGACAUCUCUUGGAAAUGCAGACUGUCUAGAGAUAUAUGAUAGAACUAAGGAUGUUUUUUUCUACCUGUUUAUAAAUGAUAAUAGAUUUAUAACAUUCUAUUAAGUUUAGAUAAACGGUUCUCUUUCUCUCUUCCCGUACCAACAAUGCUAGAGGAAACAAAGCACUCACUAGUAACUGUGGCUCACUGUGAUCUAUAAUUAGCACAGAACGAAAUAUGUCAAAGAAGCUCAAGAAAUUAUUCAGAGACGCUCUCCUAAAUGGGUCUGCCUUACAAGAGCUCCCAAAGGAACCAGUAAAUGUGGAAAGGAAAACCUGGUAUCAGCCACUGC
rnacentral:lncRNA from 1 species